GGGGCUUGCUGGUGCCGGUGAAUGGAAGCUUGCUUGUGCUGUAAGGCAAAGGUUCACUGAAUUGAGUUCAUAGUUUUUAUGGAAGUGCAUUGUGAUGUCUGUUGGUGAGAAGCAAAUGAGUUCACACAUGUAGUGGCUAAUAUGGUUUGUUUAUUUUUCCUUUUUUAUUCCCCUAGCUGCAAGAUAUUCUAUUGUCUAGUGACGACUAAUCCACGGUGGUAUUUUUUCUCAUGCCGCGGCCAAGAGGAUGAUGGAUUUGAAAUCCAUGGUGCGUGUUGAAACAAGUGUACAGGUUUAUGCUUUCUAAAUUUGUUAUAUGUUAUUUGUUGCAUUAUCGCAUAUUUGUUGGAGAAUCAUGC
rnacentral:misc_RNA from 1 species